UGAACGCUGGCGGCGUGCCUAAUACAUGCAAGUCGAGCGAACAGACGAGGAGCUUGCUCCUCUGACGUUAGCGGCGGACGGGUGAGUAACACGUGGAUAACCUACCUAUAAGACUGGGAUAACUUCGGGAAACCGGAGCUAAUACCGGAUAAUAUAUUGAACCGCAUGGUUCAAUAGUGAAAGACGGUUUUGCUGUCACUUAUAGAUGGAUCCGCGCCGCAUUAGCUAGUUGGUAAGGUAACGGCUUACCAAGGCAACGAUGCGUAGCCGACCUGAGAGGGUGAUCGGCCACACUGGAACUGAGACACGGUCCAGACUCCUACGGGAGGCAGCAGUAGGGAAUCUUCCGCAAUGGGCGAAAGCCUGACGGAGCAACGCCGAGUGAGUGAUGAAGGUCUUCGGAUCGUAAAACUCUGUUAUUAGGGAAGAACAAAUGUGUAAGUAACUAUGCACGUCUUGACGGUACCUAAUCAGAAAGCCACGGCUAACUACGUG
rnacentral:rRNA from 1 species